AAAACAGAAUAGAAGGAAAAUAUUAUGAGCAAACAGGAAAACACAAACAAAAAAUAAAUAAACGUAGAAAACAAAAAUGGAGAAGGGAGAGGAAACGGAGAAGCGAUAAAGGACAAGAAGAAGGAAAAGAAAGAAAAAAAACUAGAUAAAAAUGACAAGAAACGAAGAUCAAAGAGGAAAAUGAUUAAGGAAAAGAAAGACGUGAUCGUGAAAUUGGAAAUACACAGAAAGGAAGGAAAAACAACUUGAAGGAAAACAUGGAAAUUUGGUGGAUAAGAAAGAUAGGCUGUAAAAAGUUGAUUAAGGACAAGAAAACGAGGAUAAGUUAAGUAAGGUAAGGUAAGGUAAGGUCAGGUUAAGUUAGGUAAGGUAAGGUCAGGUUAAGUUAGGUAAGGUAAGGUAAGGUCAGGUUAGGUAAGGUAAGGUAAGGUCAGGUUAGGUAAGGUAAGGUAAGGUCAGGUUAAGUUAGGUAAGGUAAGGUAAGGUCAGGUUAAGUUAGGUAAGGUAAGGUAAGGUCAGGUUAAGUUAGGUAAGGUAAGGUAAGGUCAGGUUAAGUUAGGUAAGGUAAGGUAAGGUAAGGUUAAGUUAGGUAAGGUAAGGUCAGGUUAAGUUAGGUAAGGUAAGGUAAGGUAGGGUUAAGUUAGGUAAGGUAAGGUCAGGUUAAGUUGGGUAAGGUAAGGUGUAGGGGAUAUCAGGGUAAGGGGUCAUUGAGGUAAAAAAAAAUAUAUAUACACAAAAAAUAGCUUAGGAAAGGAAAUAUUGAAGGAAGGAAAAGAUUGAAGAAACACAACAUAAAGCAAACGAUUCUAGGAAAAACAAAACAAAUGACGGAGCAGAUUAAAGGACAAAACGGAGAAUAUUAGGCUAAAAAAAGCGAAUAAGAGGAAAGUGUUAUAGGAAGGGCAAGGAAAUCCGGCACGAUAUAUCAAGAACCCGGAGACAUUGCAGGAAAAAAUAUAGGUGCAUAGAAAUAGUUGUUAAAGAAAGAAGAAGAAGAAGAAAAAGAAGAAGAAGAAGAAGAAAGAGGGAAAGGAAGUCCGGUGAUAUAUCAAGAAACCGAAGACAUUGAAGGAAAAAAAAAAAAACGUUGCAUAGAAGUAGUUAAAGAUAGAAGGAAAAGAAGAAAAUGAAGAAGAAGAAGAAAAAAGAAGAAGACGAAGAAAAAGAAGAAGAAGAGGAGGAGGAAGAGGAAGAAUUAAUAGUUAAAGAUAGAAUAAAUAAAAUAACGUAUCUUCCAAGGUCACAGAUAAAGUUAACCGGGCUUUCAUGGGUGGCGGUAUUCGAGUUCAAAGUGUGGAAACAAAACUACCCCUGGAAAUGCCCAAAAAACACCUAUGAAAGCCUUGCCAACUCCUUCCAAAGACCAAAGAGAUCAGUCGGGUUCAAGUGAGUGGUAUAUGAGGUUCACGGUACAGAGGAAGGGUCAUACCACCACCAGGGUCACAAAACUACCCCUGGAAAUGCCCCAAAAAAACACCUAUGAAAGCCUUGCCAACUGCUUCCAAAGACCAAAGAGAUCAGUCGGGUUCAAAUGAGUGGUAUCUGAGGUUCACGGUACAGAGGAAGGGUCAUACCACCACCAGGGUCACAAAACUACCCCUGGAAAUGCCCCAAAAACAACUAUAAAAGCCUUGCCGACUACUUCCAAGGACCACAGAGAUCAGUCGGGUUCAAAUGAGCAGAGGAAAUGGAACUCGUGUAAAAUUGUCACUGGGCUCACAAAACAGUCCAUGGCAAGCUCUUCAAACAAGCACCGAUACGUUAAUUAAGAAUACGGGCUUAAAAAAAUACACUGAACGCUGAACUAACACAGCCAAACACAUAUCUUCCAUAUCUCCACUGUGUAGGCCUACUUAAAAAACACGAUGGCGUAAGGAAAAAAUUUAAACAGUGGAACGAUUAUAGUGCCACUGAGAUUUAUGUUGUUGUUCUUGUUGUUGGUGGUGGU